CAUGCAAGUCGAACGGUAACAGGCAAGAGCUUGCUCUUGCGCUGACGAGUGGCGGACGGGUGAGUAACGCGUAGGAAUCUGCCCAGCAGCGGGGGACAACCCGGAGAAAUCCGGGCUAAUACCGCAUACGCCCCACGGGGGAAAGAUGGGGAUCUUCGGACCUGUCACUGUUGGAUGAGCCUGCGUCGGAUUAGUUUGUUGGUGGGGUAAUGGCCUACCAAGACGACGAUCCGUAACUGGUCUGAGAGGAUGACCAGUCACACAGGGAAUGAGACACGGCCCAGACUCCUACGGGAGGCAGCAGUGGGGAAUAUUGGACAAUGGGCGGAAGCCUGAUCCAGCAAUGCCGCGUGUGUGAAGAAGGCCUUAGGGUUGUAAAGCACUUUCAAUCGGGAAGAAAAGCAUUCGGUUAAUACCCGGGUGUCUUGACGGUACCGAUACAAGAAGCACCGGCUAACUCUGUGCCAGCAGCCGCGGUAAUACGGAGGGUGCAAGCGUUAAUCGGAAUUACUGGGCGUAAAGCGCACGCAGGCGGUUUGUUAAGUCAGAUGUGAAAGCCCCGGGCUCAACCUGGGAACUGCAUUUGAUACUGGCAGACUAGAGUAUGAGAGAGAGAAAUGGAAUUCCACAUGUAGCGGUGAAAUGCGUAGAGAUGUGGAGGAACAUCAGUGGCGAAGGCGGCUUCUGGCUCAAUACUGACG
rnacentral:rRNA from 1 species